GGUGAACGCUGGCGGCGUGCCUAAUACAUGCAAGUCGAGCGAACGGACGAGAAGCUUGCUUCUCUGAUGUUAGCGGCGGACGGGUGAGUAACACGUGGAUAACCUACCUAUAAGACUGGGAUAACUUCGGGAAACCGGAGCUAAUACCGGAUAAUAUUUUGAACCGCAUGGUUCAAAAGUGAAAGACGGUCUUGCUGUCACUUAUAGAUGGAUCCGCGCUGCAUUAGCUAGUUGGUAAGGUAACGGCUUACCAAGGCAACGAUGCAUAGCCGACCUGAGAGGGUGAUCGGCCACACUGGAACUGAGACACGGUCCAGACUCCUACGGGAGGCAGCAGUAGGGAAUCUUCCGCAAUGGGCGAAAGCCUGACGGAGCAACGCCGCGUGAGUGAUGAAGGUCUUCGGAUCGUAAAACUCUGUUAUUAGGGAAGAACAUAUGUGUAAGUAACUGUGCACAUCUUGACGGUACCUAAUCAGAAAGCCACGGCUAACUACGUGCCAGCAGCCGCGGUAAUACGUAGGUGGCAAGCGUUAUCCGGAAUUUAUGGGCGUAAAGCGCGCGUAGGCGGUUUUUUAGUCUGAUGUGAAAGCCCACGGCUCAACCGUGGAGGGUCAUUGGAAACUGGAAAACUUGAGUGCAGAAGAGGAAAGUGGAAUUCCAUGUGUAGCGGUGAAAUGCGCAGAGAUAUGGAGGAACACCAGUGGCGAAGGCGACUUUCUGGUCUGUAACUGACGCUGAUGUGCGAAAGCGUGGGGAUCAAACAGGAUUAGAUACCCUGGUAGUCCACGCCGUAAACGAUGAGUGCUAAGUGUUAGGGGGUUUCCGCCCCUUAGUGCUGCAGCUAACGCAUUAAGCACUCCGCCUGGGGAGUACGACCGCAAGGUUGAAACUCAAAGGAAUUGACGGGGACCCGCACAAGCGGUGGAGCAUGUGGUUUAAUUCGAAGCAACGCGAAGAACCUUACCAAAUCUUGACAUCCUUUGACAACUCUAGAGAUAGAGCUUUCCCCUUCGGGGGACAAAGUGACAGGUGGUGCAUGGUUGUCGUCAGCUCGUGUCGUGAGAUGUUGGGUUAAGUCCCGCGACGAGCGCAACCCUUAAGCUUAGUUGCCAUCAUUAAGUUGGGCACUCUAAGUUGACUGCCGGUGACAAACCGGAGGAAGGUGGGGAUGACGUCAAAUCAUCAUGCCCCUUAUGAUUUGGGCUACACACGUGCUACAAUGGACAAUACAAAGGGCAGCGAAACCGCGAGGUCAAGCAAAUCCCAUAAAGUUGUUCUCAGUUCGGAUUGUAGUCUGCAACUCGACUACAUGAAGCUGGAAUCGCUAGUAAUCGUAGAUCAGCAUGCUACGGUGAAUACGUUCCCGGGUCU
rnacentral:rRNA from 1 species